AGUGAACGCUGGCGGUAGGCCUAACACAUGCAAGUCGAACGGCAGCACAGUAAGAGCUUGCUCUUAUGGGUGGCGAGUGGCGGACGGGUGAGGAAUACAUCGGAAUCUACUCUUUCGUGGGGGAUAACGUAGGGAAACUUACGCUAAUACCGCAUACGACCUACGGGUGAAAGCAGGGGAUCUUCGGGCCUUGCGCGAUUGAAUGAGCCGAUGUCGGAUUAGCUAGUUGGCGGGGUAAAGGCCCACCAAGGCGACGAUCCNNAGCUGGUCUGAGAGGAUGAUCAGCCACACUGGAANUGAGACACGGUCCAGACUCCUACGGGAGGCAGCAGUGGGGAAUAUUGGACAAUGGGCGCAAGCCUGAUCCAGCCAUACCGCGUGGGUGAAGAAGGCCUUCGGGUUGUAAAGCCCNUNUGUNGGGAAAGAAAACCAG
rnacentral:rRNA from 1 species